UACGGAGGGGGCGAGCGUUAUUCGGAAUUAUUGGGCGUAAAGGGCGCGUAGGCGGCCCUGUAAGUCAAAGGUGAAAUCCCUCGGCUCAACUGAGGAACUGCCUUUGAAACUGCAGGCUUGAGGCCGGGGAGGGGGUAGCGGAAUUCCCAAUGUAGCGGUGAAAUGCGUAGAUAUUGGGGAGGAACACCAGUGGCGAAGGCGGCU
rnacentral:rRNA from 1 species